AGGACUAUCUGAAAGGCUUUGACAGGAGUGCCUCUUUAGUGAUUGAGGCAUCUUUUGCUCUGUCUGACCAAUUUUUUAGCACAAGAUUUUCUUCUCAGUUAAGACAAAAAAAAAAGAUGUCUACCCAAAGACUGUCUGUGCUUUCUCCCCUUCUGCUCUUCUGCUUCUUCAGAGAGACUUUCUCCAUUUGUGACGGGACAACGUGGACAAAGGUCGGAUGGGAGAUUUUUCCAGAGGAAGUGCACUACCUGAAAGUUAAGGCCCCCCCAUCCAGCUGCCUACCUUAUCCUCUGGACACACUCUGCUGCAAUUUUGCUAACAUGGACCUCUUACAGAGCGCCUUACACCUCACUUACAUCUUAGUACAAGCUCUCUGCUUAAUCCUGUUUGCUUUAUCUGUGCAUUACCUAUGGAUGAAAUGGACAAGACACCAAAAAAAGCUGAAAAAGCAAGCUUCCUUAGAGAAACACGCUAAUGGCCUAGACCUGAGCCCAUCCAUCCAUGACAUUGAACAAAUCCUCUGCAGACUACUGGCCACAACAUCAAUGAUGACCAAGUUCCUGAAGCACGUGUCUCACCACUCUUCUGUCAAGAAAGCUAAGCAACAACGUAAAUUAAGGAAGAAGAAGAGUAAGGGAGAAGAGGAGCAGAAGAUCACUGCUAUCCCUAAGCUCGUGCAAAUGUAGCUUGGUCAAGUGCGGAGAGGACAAAAGCUCGUGCAAAUGUAGCUUGGUCAAGUGCGGAGUAUAAAAGAAAUCUAUUGCAGGGACUGUCUGAGGACACAAAGGUUUCUUUGGGGGCUUGCUUUUUUUUUUUUUUUUUUGCCACAAUCAUUACAGAAAAAUUCUCAGACGAGCUCUGGGUUUCCGCUCAACUGAAAACGAAUCCACUCUUUCUAACGUGGCUCCCAGAAUAAACUGAGAACACCUUAACUGGAACUUCAGGGUGUAAUCUAGUGGAAAGGAAACUCUCAGAGAUGCUAAGAAACUUGGCUCAAGGAACCAGUAAUGAUGGAUGCAAGAUACCAACCAACAUGGGCAGCCUGACUCCUGAGCCCCUCCACAUCUGCUAAGUAUGACAGCAAGCUGCACUUUGGAACAAUCAGUCUAUGAUUUAAAAGAAUUUUCAUCAAACUCUAAUUACCAGCCCUUUAUUGUUAACACAGUUUUCAAAAUC
ensembl:antisense 4930469G21Rik RIKEN cDNA 4930469G21 gene